rnacentral:rRNA from 1 species
CCUAUCUGGUUGAUCCUGCCAGUGYCUAUAUGCUUGUUUCAAAGACUAAGCCAUGCAUGUCCAAGUACAGUUCGGAGAAGCAAUUCCUGGGCGAAACCGCAGACGGCUCAUUAAAUCAGUUGUGGUCUAAAUGGGCGAAAGAUAUCUUAUGGAUAACUGUGGAAAAUCCAGAGCUAAUACAUGCGAUUUCAGGCCCUGAGCCAACAGCGUUUCGGCGCUCAGUAACUCGGGGUGCUUUUAUUAGACCGAGGCGCGCGCACACCAGAAACGACUAGCGUCUUCACGGAUGUCUAGCACCGGYCUGUUAGUUUGUGUCGCACUGUAAGCGCUAAAUGGUGACUCUGGAUAACACUUGAUGAGCGUGUCAUAAUUUGGCACGCCGCCUACUUACGAGUGACUGACCUAUCAGCUAAAACGUAUGUUAUACGCAAAYGUUGGCACUGACGGGUAACGGGGAAUCAGAGCUUGAUUCCGGAGAGGCAGCCUGAGAAACGGCUACCACGUCUAAGGACGGCAGCAGGCACGCAAAUUACCCAAUCCCAGCACCUGGGGGAGGUAGUGACGAUACUUACUGAUGCGGGUCAGUCUUCGGACUACUCGCAAUCGGAAUGGCUAUUUUCUAAACACCCUAUCGAGAACCUACUGGAGGGCAAGCCUGGUGCCAGCAGCCGCGGUAAUUCCAGCUCCAGUGGCGUAUGCCAAUGUUGCUGCGGUUAAAAGGCUCGCAGUUGAAUGUCAGUUAUAAUACGCGUAGAAGUGCCGGGACGUUGUUCGGUUCAGUCUUCGGGCUGUUAUCGUUCCGUUCCUUGAGCGCAUUUCUCGCAAUCUAACAAUGAGUUCCUAGUGCGCUAUUGUUUACCUCACGGUUUUCAGUAAUGUCACUAGUUUCUCGACACCUUGAGUAAAUCAGAGUGCUUAAAGCAGUCGUUCUAAAACGGUCUGCCAAAUUGUUGCCUCCGGGUAGCAAUCGGUGUGUCUGUGACGGGAUUCGCGUCCUGUUAAGACAUUGUCUUUGUUUUGCAUGGUACGUCGGAAGACGCCCUAUGAGUUGGUCGCGCUUACAGUUUAGACACAAGCGUGAGGGGGCAACUCCUCGUGUGCGUGUGCGCCAACAAGUAGGGAAUGAUACGAAAGGGAUGGCUCGAAGGCAUUGGUAUUGCGGGGCGAGAGGUGAAAUUCUAUGACCCCCGCAAGACUACCCGAAGCGAAAGCGUCUGCCUAGGACGUCUUCAUUAAUCAUGAACGAAAGUUGAAGGAUCGAAGGCGAUCAGAUACCGCCCUAGUUUUAACCGUAAACUAUACCAACCAUCAAUCCGUCGACGCGUUCCCUUACUCCCGGCGUAUUCGCGGCACGUUCGCGGCUGUUCGUGGUGCGUCGUGGACAAGUGUAAGCUCGAUGGGCAGUUCCUUUCGAACGGAAAACCAGAGUUUUUCGGUUCCGGGGGGAGUCUGGUUGCAAAGCUGAAACUUAAAGGAAUUGACGGAAAGGCACCACCAGGCGUGGAGCUUGCGGCUCAAUUUGACUCAACACGGGAAAUCUCACCAGACCCGAACAUCUUUGAUGACUGACAGACUGAAAGCUCUUUCUCAAUAAAGUGGAUGGUGGUGCAUGGCCGUUCUUAGUUGGUGGAGUGAUCUGUCUGGUUAAUUCCGAUAACGAACGAGACUCUCCCCUGCUAACGAACCUCGGUGUUCUUGUAGACAGUGUGAUUCGAAUCAAGAGUUUGACUGGUAACGGUCUUAUCUCGGACGUUGUCCACUGAUCCUUGUUGCGAUUGCUGGAGUGGGUUCGCGUGCUGGAUGCUCUUUCGGGGGUACUCUAUGUACGUGUUCCUUGCGACGGUAAUUCGUGGCUCGGAGUACGUUUCUUCUUAGAGGGAUUGACGACUCAUAAGUCGUAAGAGACAGAGAGCAAUAACAGGUCUGUGAUGCCCUUAGAUGUUCUGGGCUGCACGCGUGUUACAAUGCCGGAAUCAACGGGUYAUUACGCUUCAUCGCGCCCUACUCUGAAAAGAGUGGGUAAACCUCUGAAAUUCCUAACACGUUGCUAUAAGCCUUCUGGUUUUUAGCUCGUACUACGGCUUGCUUGGGACUGGGGAUUGCAACUAUUCCCCACGAACGAGGAAUGCCUUGUAGUGGCGAGUCACAGAGCUCGCUGCGACUCUGUCCCUGCCCUUUGAACACACCGCCCGUCGCUACUACCGAUUGAGUGUACCAGUGAGAUGCUUGGACUGGSGAACCGAUCGGCGUUAAAACCUUUCGGCGUAYGACAGGAAGAGCCUCGAACUGGUGCACUUAGAGGAAGUAAAAGUCGUAACAAGGUUUCCGUAGGUGAACCUGCGGAAGGAUCAA